rnacentral:lncRNA from 1 species
UCCCGUCGGGGGUGCUGAGGCGAUUCGCUAAUGAUCGUAUAGAGACCGGUGGAUCGUGCCGACACCCACAGAACGAACACACUUUCUUCAAGGCGAGUAAGCCCGCCCUACUUUGGUGUGGCUUGCCCGUCAAUUUUUGGAAGCCCUCAAUCUUCUCUGGGGGCUCACAAAACACAUAGUGUAAAUAUGGUAGUAAUAAUCUCUAAUGGACUGGAACAAAUGAUAUCCCAUAUUUCACAUGGUGAAGCCUCUGGGCUCUAUUGGGCCAAGAAGUAUACCUACGCUUGAGUCAAUGUCGAAGUAAACUAGGCCCUAUUUUAAGGUUGUUACUAAAUCUGCCGUAUGUUAACAAUGUUGCUGAUGAGGAUUAAUACCAACAGAGUCAAGUUCCAAAACUCUCCAACGUUGAACACUUUUGUAAAAAUGACAUACUAAUAAAUAAGGACAAGUGAGGGUACGUAUGAGUCAGAAGUUUGUCUGUGAGAAUUGUCUACGUUGUCUUAUUUGUUUGUCAAUUUCCUAAAGUAUGAAUUGUAAGUGUCAAAUAUAUAUCAUACCUUAGUCAGCACUAGGUUCCCUUUGCUCUCUUUCAUCUUCUUCUGUUAGAUGUUUGAUUUUGAUUUAUGUGUGUAUAUUAAUAGUAAAUAUUCGGACGGAUAGAUGUACAAAUUAAGAUAAUAAGCCUAUUUAUCUCCUCUCUUGCUUACGUACGUACUAAUGCACAAAGGAUUGACUUUGUAAACAUGUGAUGUCUCUAUCAUUAUGAAUAUUAUUAUGCCUGGAUUAGUUCAUGUACAACUCUCUAUUUAGACAAGAAUUUUGUUUAUUUGUUGAA